UACGUAGGGGCCUAGCGUUGUCCGGAUUUAUUGGGCGUAAAGAGCUCGUAGGCGGUUCGGUAAGUCAGGUGUGAAAUCUCCACGCUCAACGUGGAGGCGCCACCUGAAACUGCCGUGACUCGAGUCCGGUAGGGGAGUGUGGAAUUCCCGGUGUAGCGGUGAAAUGCGCAGAUAUCAGGAAGAACACCUAUGGCGAAAGCAGCUCUCUGGGACGGUACUGACGCUGAGACGCGAAAGCGUGGGGAGCGAACAGG
rnacentral:rRNA from 1 species